AGCUGACCAGGCUACAAAUGACGCUUAUGCACGAAAGUGCGGGGAUCGAACAGGAUUAGAUACCCUGGUAGUCCGCACAGUAAACCGAUGAAUACUUGUUUUCGGCGAUAAACAGUCGGAGACAAAAGCGAAAGUGAUAAGUAUUCCACCUGGGGAGUACGCCCGGCAACGGUGAAACUCAAAAGGAAUUGACGGGGGCCUGCACAAAGCGGAGGAACAUGUGGUUUAAUUCGAUGCUACGCGAGGAACCUUACCCGGGCUUGAAAGUUAUCGACGGAGGCUGAAAGGCCUCUUCCCUUCGGGGCGAGAAACUAGGUGCUGCAUGGUUGUCGUCAGCUCGUGCCGUGAGGUGUCGGCUUAAGUGCCAUAACGAGCGCAACCCUUUUCUCCAGUUACCAUCAUUAAGUUGGGGACUCUGGAGACACUGCCAUCGCAAGAUGUGAGGGAGGAGGGGAUGACGUCACAUCAGCACGGCCCUUACGGACGUUGACGGGCGGUGUGUACAAUGGGAAGGACAGCGUGGAACGCGGCGUGACGCAAAGGGAAUCUUCAAACCUCCAGCCAGUUCGGAUUGGAGUCCGCACUCACUCCGAGAAGCAG
rnacentral:rRNA from 1 species